rnacentral:rRNA from 1 species
UGGGGAAUUUUGGACAAUGGGCGAAAGCCUGAUCCAGCAAUGCCGCGUGCAGGAUGAAGGCCUUCGGGUUGUAAACUGCUUUUGUACGGAACGAAACGGUUCGCCUUAAUACGGUGGGCUAAUGACGGUACCGUAAGAAUAAGCACCGGCUAACUACGUGCCAGCAGCCGCGGUAAUACGUAGGGUGCGAGCGUUAAUCGGAAUUACUGGGCGUAAAGCGUGCGCCGGGGGUUAUAUAAGACAGAUGAGAAAUCCCCGGGCUCAACCUGGGACCUGCAUUUGUGACAUGUAUAGCUAGAGUACGGUAGAGAGGGAUGAAAUUCCGCGUGUAGCAGCGAAAUGCGCAGAUAUGCGGAGGAACACCGAUGGCAAACGCGAUACCCUGGACCUGUACUGACGCUCAUGCACGAAAGCGCUGGGGAGCAAACAUGAUUAGAUACCCCGGCAGUCCACGACCUAGACGAUGUCAACUGGUUGGAGGGUCUUCACUGACUCAGUAAGGAAGCUAAUGCGUGAAGUUGACCGCCUGGGGAGUACGGCCUCCAGGCUG